GUUUCUUUCCACACCACAAGGCUGCAUUGAAGAGGGUAAAAAAGGAUUAUUUCUCAUGUCCUUGCAAUAGUCUGAAUGCUCAGGGCAAUCACAAGAAACUUUCAUCGAACUUCAGAACAUAAAAAGAAUCAGGCACAACAAGAAUGUUAGUUUUAAGAAAUAAACCACACUUAGAUAAACUUG